ensembl:processed_transcript Six3os1 SIX homeobox 3, opposite strand 1
CACUCAUGAAGAACUGAGGCAAAAGGAUCACAGAUGCUGCUCGGGGCCAGCCCUAUAAUCCCUCCAGUGCCUGGUCUCCCGUGGACCCGCGGGGCUCUGCAGUUCUCUGGCGGCCGCGCCUUGUAAGCGCUAAGCCGGGAGGAGGGCGCAGGCAGGGCGCACAGCUCUGAGCGCGACCCUACCCGGCUCGGGCCCGCAGCAGCCCCGAUUGUCCGAGAGCCUCUCCGAAAGCAAGGCUCUGCGCCGCCCUCUGAGCCCACCUCCUGGCCACAACGCUGCCUGCGCUUCUCCAGCCCAGGCCGGAAGCCCUAUGCUGCCUCCAGAAGCCGGACUUUCUGGAAGCCCAUCUUCGUAUGCUCACCAGCCCACCCUCCUACGCUGGUCAGAGUGAGAUUGCUAAUCUCAAGACCCCAUUCAAUGCCAGCUUUCAACUACUGCUGAAGACCAAUGUAGGUCCUGGAAUAGAAGAACUGCAGAGUGUAAGUCUAUUUGACCGGCCCCUCCUCCCUUCCCUCCUUCCAUUCGGCUCCACUCCCGUGCCCAGCCCCCUUUCCAUUCCAUGACCCCCUAAACUAAACCCAAGCAUAAACUCCAGGAUCAUCUCUGAGCCGGACCACAGUAGUGCCCAGGUCACGAUCCGUUCUAAGGGCAAAAGCAGCGGCAGAAAAGUCAGGGGCGGGUGCUCUAGGAGAGAGGGAGACCUGAAACGGAGGGUAGGAUUCAGUUCGGAACCCACCGGCUGCUGAGGGGAGGAGGCGAAAGGAGGGGGUUGGGAGUCCACGGGCAUUGGGUCGGGGCAGCAGGGACUUCAGGCGACUGCGUGGGGGGCUAGAUCCGGAGGAGAGGGGAGGGGUGGCGGGGGUCGGAGGAGCACGCAGGGCGGAGGGGUGUGGGGCUCUUUAAGAGCCACACGGCUAGCAGGAGAGGCGUGCGGCCCUGUGCUGGUAGCGCACUGACCCCGAAGGGGAUUUAGCGGGAAGGGAGCGACCGGGUUCUGGGGGCUUUGUCCGGGGGCGCCCAGAAAGGCCGAGGCACAAGAAUAAGAAGCGGCUGCAGCGUGAAAGGCUGCGAGGAGCGGCGGCGCUGCUGCUCUUGACUUCUGAGCAGGGCUUAGAAGGCCUGCCCCGGCUUAAGCUGAACUGAGGGUGCUGAGUCCUGAGCGCCGAGUUCACGAGCCCUGAGUCCUGGCCUCUAGGCUGAGGAGGCGUGGGAUAGGGGCGGACGCUGGAGUAGUGGGUCUUCUUGCGACAACCCCCUCUUGGAUCUUACAGCCUUGCUACCCAAGCGCAAGGUUGUUAGCCUAGCUUGCCGCGUCUGGCAUAGCCAAAGAAAUUUACUUUCCCAGCUUGGCUUUUGCUUUUGUGUGUCCACCUCGAGCAGAUCCGGAGCUGGCCGACCCCAGACUGAUUCUCAACAGGUGGCUGGGUAGUGCCCCCCACCCUGUGUUGGUCGUGCGGGACCCAUCGCACACAGAGAAGCCACCUUACCCCUCACCUCACCCCGUCGGCCAAAGACUGACCACCCGCGCCCGAGUGUGGGGAGGGGUGGGAAUUCCGGAUCACACACACACACACACACACACACACACACACACACACACACACACACACCAGGGUAGGGGAACAGGGAAGAUCUUACCUGCAGAAAGGUAAGAGAAGCCGGGAGCGUGUAGCAGCGGCGGAUAAAUAUUCAUUAGGAAGUGUAAGUCCUUUCAAAGGGCUCCGCGCGCGCGCUCUAGCUCCUGUCUCUCUUUCUCUCCCUCCCUCUGUCCUCCAGGAAGGCUUCCCCUCCUCUAGCUAUCUCAACGCCCCCCCCCCCCCCCCCCCCCCCCCUUCCUGCGAAAUACCGGGUGGAUCCUAGGCUAGCUAACCUGUUGGGAAGCCUGAACUGCGGUAGUGCCUCUGCAGCUAGCAGUUUGCUUUCGCUCCUGGGGCGCGCGCCCCCCCCAUCCCCUCCCCUCCUUCCUUUCGCCCAGCCCCUCACCCCUCCUAAAUCACUACAUCAUUAGCUUUAUUGGGCGGGGGGGGGGUAACGGAGCAGCCAGACGCACCUCUCCAUAGAAGGGUGAAUAGUUGGUGCCCUGCGAUGCAACCCCAACUCCAUCUCCACCUCAUUCUCACCCAUCUGCACAUCCUCAUCCAAUCUUGCUUCUUUUUCUUCGCUCUUUCCACCUCCACCUCCAUCCUGUGUCAACCUAACUCCCUCAGCAGCCCUCCCACCCGCCGCCGCCAAUCCGGAUCACAGAUUGGGUUGGGAGUGAGAUUGCAAGGCUGUUAGGUCCGAAGGUCCUGUGUGUCGAGGUUAGAACUCCUCCCUGGCGUGAGUAUGGGGUGGUUAUCAAGAUCUCCUUCUCCUUCCUGACCCUGCAAGGUUACCAAACAGCCUGGACUUUUGAAUCAGAUCUCUGGAGCAAGCAUUAAGAACUCCAGCCAUACAGAUCUCAGGGCCUGGCCCUUUCACUCAGCCGCGGAGGCUGCUUGAGGGAUGGGGAGAGGUGAUUUCACUCAGCGCCAACGCGCAGGAAAAACUCAUAGACGACAGUCGGACUAAUACUCGUCCUUUAAGAAUGCACUUCCUGAAGUUAGUCGCAAGUCAUCUUCAAUCAAGGAAAGGAAAAAAAAAAUCCUCACAUCUAGAAGCUUCGCCGAAGCCACUUCCAACAGCACGCGAACAUGUUCGCGCACACCCUUCUCUGUGCACGCCCCAAUGCCUGCUCUCUCGCGAGCAGGUGAAAAUACAGGCUGCCCAGCCCAGAGGAGAGAAGGCGGCCGAGGAAUACAUCGCUUAGGGUUGUUUAGAAAGUAGGAAUAACUGUUUUCAAUACUCUGCUCUGCUACCAGGACCUUAGGUUCCUCUUGGGACCCUGAAAAGUGGCUUUACCCCACCAUGGGGGGUGGGGGAGGGCAGUGGCUCUAGCUCUGGCCCUCCUACUGGGAGCUUAAAGUUGGGGUGAAGGGUUUAAGGAGGAGCCGAGUGGGCGGGCCCUGUUAGUUUGCAGUUGUAAGUGCAGCUGUGCCUGGGACACCAAGAAGGAGAGUCUCGCCCCCUAAUGCUCACGGUGCUUGCUUAGAGGACCCCCGAGGUUAACUACGGGAGCGUCUGCUCUCUCCUGAGCCCCAGGCCAACACAGGACGGUGGUGGCCGGGAUGCCAGCCGGGAUGCCUAAACACAGUAAGACUUCAGUUGCCUCUCAUUUGGCUGUUCAGAGCUAAUGUCUACCAGAAGAGGUUUUAGAAGUGGGUCGCACCCGUCCCGAAUCCAUCCUGUGAGGUGGCAGAGGGUCAGAGGGUCACUCCUUCUUGUUAAAGGUUAGCAUAAUAAGUAUUAUUAUUACUAGGGUAGAGGAAGAUGUGGAGGAAAAAAAAAGCCUAGGGUGCCUAGGACACUAACCAACCUUACAGCUUACCCAAAGUCCAGAACCUCCCAUUGUACACCUUCUCUCCCCAACACAGAUCCCUAAGGUCUCCUCUUCAUCUGGCAUGUGUGUUCACAGAAGGUACAGUGUGUGAGAACACACUUAGGAAAUUUUAGGAACGCUAACCACAGUACUGGAGGAAUAAAGAUGUGGCGAAGGAAUGGAUGGAAUGCAUGAACACAUACACCUUGUUGUCCAGAUGCAGACAAAAGCUACCAUGUCCGCUUGGAGUGACGCCCAGACACGCACAGAGAUGUACAGGAAGCCAAGGAGAGUGGGAUUCACCAGAGUACAGUACAAGUACAGAGUACAGUGCAAGAUGCCCAGUGGCCCUGGAGAAAAACCUUCGUUGACUCUUCUGUAUGGAAAGUUUCUGAAGAAAGGGCCAAGGAAUGAUCUGCCUCAGAGGCUGCCUUUAGGCUCCCAUACCUGCUCUGUUUGGAGACACCCAGAAGAGGCCAGUACAGCAAAGACUCUUUUUGGUUUGGUUAUUUCUGUUGCUUGUUGUCUUUUUUUCAUCCUUUGCCUGGGAAAUUGUGCUCUGGAAUAGGGCUUGAGUAGACAGCACAGGCCUCCAGUAGAUAACAAGAGAUUUUCAAUCUCCAAUGAAGACAUUCCGUUCUAAGGAAGCUUCCAGAUAGGGGAAAGCCCUGUUUUGUCCCCCUUUUCUCCUCUGAGAUCUGAAAAAAUAGAAAGAAAAAAAAAAGAAAA